UACGGGGGGAGCAAGCGUUGUUCGGAUUUACUGGGCGUAAAGGGCGCGUAGGCGGUCAGCACAAGUCAGUUGUGAAAUCUCCGAGCUUAACUCGGAAAGGUCAACUGAUACUGUGCGACUAGAGUGCGGAAGGGGCAACUGGAAUUCUUGGUGUAGCGGUGAAAUGCGUAGAUAUCGGAAGGAACACCGGUGGCGAAAGCGGCGCGCUGGACCCCUUCUGACGCUGAGGCGCGAAAGCCAGGGGAGCAAACGGG
rnacentral:rRNA from 1 species